UACGUAGGGUCCGAGCGUUGUCCGGAAUUAUUGGGCGUAAAGGGCUCGUAGGCGGUUUGUCGCGUCGGUCGUGAAAACUUUGGGGCUUAACCCUGAGCUUGCGGUCGAUACGGGCAUGACUGGAGUUCGGCAGGGGAGACUGGAAUUCCUGGUGUAGCGGUGAAAAUGCGCAGAUAUCAGGAGGAACACCGGUGGCGAAGGCGGGUCUCUGGGGCCGAUACUGACGCUGAGGAGCGAAAGCGUGGGGAGCGAACAGG
rnacentral:rRNA from 1 species